CCAUUUUGAAAGCGUCAGUUCAUUUUUAAUUUUCUCACCCGCAUAUACCGAAAUAGUUUUCUUUUUUAAAUAUUUCCCAAGCAAACCAAAAUUUCCGUACAAUAGUUGAUAUUUGAUUAAAGUUCUUAAAAUAAUAAAGGAAAAGUCAAUAUUAUAAAGAGGUAAUUGAACGGUCUACUACCAUCCAAUAUGUCAAAUGGCAAGGACAAGCCAACUGGUGAUGAUGACGCUUACUAUCAAGUUCCAUCUUUUAUAAAGGAAUACUACUUCACCGGCAAAGUCUUCCCUCAGCCCGGGGAUCAAAAUACCGUGGGACCACCGUCAUCCUAUUGUCUUAGUAAUUCUUGCCUGACGCACCCUUUUGACGCAAAUUGCUAUCCGGAAAUGCCUCCUCCGGGAAUUCCAUUUUGCGCAAAUUGGUCGUGGCCGAAUUCCUCAGGAUUCGGAUCCAGCGGCUCUGGCUGUUGCGGCAUGGGUGGUGGAAAUUUCCGUCAAUUUUAAGACUUAGAUCUGAAUUACCUUUUAAGUUCAAAAUUAUCUGACAAUGCUUUUACAAUAAAUUUUGAAAUCAACAAAA